GUACUCAGUUCAGCAAGACAUAUACUAAAAUGGGAAUGACACAGAGAAGAUUAGCAAGGAAGCUGUGCAAGGAUGACAUACAAUUUGUGAAGCAGUCUAUAUUUUU
ensembl:snRNA U6 U6 spliceosomal RNA